UUUUUACAGUUUUUUAUUUCAACUGCUUACAUACAAAUCUUUUCUUGUCACACAAUUUUUGAAACCAGACACUCAAACAACAGAAGCACACACUAAAUCUGCAAAACCAUACACUA